rnacentral:lncRNA from 1 species
UUAAUACUUAAAAUUCAUAAAGAUCGGCUGUCCAUAGCGUAAGUGGCAAAGGCUUGGCGGUUGAUAGCGAAAAUUUCGAGUUCGAAUUCUAAUUGAUUUUUCGAAUUCUAGUUUAUUUAUAUUUCUAGCUAAAUUUAUUUUUAAAAAAUUAUAAGAAACGGAUAGCAUACAAGUAGGGAUGUCAAUGGGUAUGAAUACCGGAAAUAUUAUCUAAAUCCGAACCCGAACGGGACGGGUUUAUCCGAGUUAAACGGGUAUGGAUUUAGUUAUGGGUAUAAAAAGUAAAAAUCUGACGGAUAUAAAAACGGGUAUGGAUUUUGUAUUUACCCGACUCGAACCCGAACCCGAAUCCGAACUCGAACCCGAAUAAAUUAUAUAUAUACAUAUUAUUUUUAUUUAUUUAUAUAAUAUAUAAAAUAUUUAAUAAUUUUUAUUCUUUAGGUCUUCAUUCAACGGCAUGGAUUUUUAGAACCCAUCGGGUUCGGAUCCAUAUUCGGGUUUUCUGCUUUUGGUCGGGUUGAUAUGAAUUUUUAAAAUUUGCCGGAUUCGAAUUCCGAUACGAAUUUUAAUUUGAUUUUCAAGUUCAAAUUCGAAUGUUUAAAAACUCGUUCUAAACCU